UCUUCGGAGGUACUCGAGUGGCGAACGGGUGAGUAACACGUGGGUGAUCUGCCCUGCACUCUGGGAUAAGCCUGGGAAACUGGGUCUAAUACCGGAUAGGACCAUGCUUUAGUGUGUGUGGUGGAAAGUUUUUUCGGUGUAGGAUGAGCCCGCGGCCUAUCAGCUUGUUGGUGGGGUAAUGGCCUACCAAGGCGGCGACGGGUAGCCGGACUGAGAGGUUGGUCGGCCACAUUGGGACUGAGAUACGGCCCAGACUCCUACGGGAGGCAGCAGUGGGGAAUAUUGCACAAUGGGCGCAAGCCUGAUGCAGCGACGCCGCGUGGGGGAUGACGGCCUUCGGGUUGUAAACUCCUUUCGCCAGGGACGAAGCGUUUUGUGACGGUACCUGGAGAAGAAGCACCGGCUAACUAC
rnacentral:rRNA from 1 species